rnacentral:rRNA from 1 species
AACGAACGCUGGCGGCAUGCCUAACACAUGCAAGUCGAACGAGACCUUCGGGUCUAGUGGCGCACGGGUGCGUAACGCGUGGGAACCUGCCCUUAGGUUCGGAAUAACUCCCCGAAAGGGGUGCUAAUACCGGAUAAUGUCUUCGGACCAAAGAUUUAUCGCCUUUGGAUGGGCCCGCGUUGGAUUAGCUAGUUGGUAGGGUAAAAGCCUACCAAGGCGACGAUCCAUAGCUGGUCUGAGAGGAUGAUCAGCCACACUGGGACUGAGACACGGCCCAGACUCCUACGGGAGGCAGCAGUGGGGAAUAUUGGACAAUGGGCGAAAGCCUGAUCCAGCAAUGCCGCGUGAGUGAUGAAGGCCUUAGGGUUGUAAAGCUCUUUUACCCGGGAUGAUAAGGACAGUACCGGGAGAAUAAGCGCCGGCGAACUCCGU